CAAACGGAAAGUUUACAGGUUACAGUUACAUAACUGACAAAAUAAAUGUCUCCUCUGAAGGUGCCUUUCAUUGGAGGUCUAGAAAGACUUCAAGACUUAAUGAACAACAAAUAUCCCUUCAGAUCCAUGACAUGUACAUGAGAGGGAAAGAUCUCUAAAAUGUACAUGAGAGGGUAUCUCAAAAAUAAGUAAUGAAUGGAGCUCAACAUUCUCCCUCACUCUUGUUUUUCCCCCUCUUCUCCUUCCCGGACCUUUCCGCCUAAAUCUGGUUCUGCAUAACUGGCAGCUGUUUAUCUGCUCCAGUCACCUCCCAUCUCUGCACCCUCCUGCUGCCCUUACAUAACAAGAGUGACUGUUUGAUUCUGUGCUCUCUGACCACCGCUUCAGCAUCUGUGCCGGGGCUCCGCCUCCCAACCGACAGCCACCCACUUUCUGCAGUGCUUGAAGCCCCGAUUUGAGGCCUCCCCCACCUCCCUGCCCCCAGUUUCUCUUUUGUUUCCUCUUUCCUCCCACUCUCUCAGUCCUUUGACUGGUCUCCUGCUCUAACAUGUUGAAAGCUGCUCCCACAUUCCUGUCCCUCCCUCCCCCCGGCGGGACACAGGAACACAUUGUGCUCUUGUUGGUGUUUCACUCUUGUUUUGAAGAUGAUCACUGUCCUCCCCACACAAGCACUCACGCACAGUACACACAAUCUUGAUGAGGUAUUUUCAGAGCAUCAAAAACACACACAUACACACACACACACACAAAACCCAAAAAUCUGUUCUUUUAUUUGACAUUCUUAGCCUUCUUAUGAGCCUACAUUUUUACAGCGAGCAGAGAUACACAGGAAGAGUCAGAGCUGUGAACAGAUCCAACCAUUACAGAGGAGUAUGCACAGGUAAGUCAGUGUAUCUGGGUGAAAUGCAGGUAGUGAACCAGCAGAUGACACUCUUUCCUUUCUCUCUCUCUCUCUCUCUCUGUCUCUAUCCUCCACUCCUGUCAUCACUUCUCUCCCGUAUCCCCCUUUAUUUCUUCCUUAGUCAAAAGAAACCAGUAGUUUUUCCCUCUCUCUCUCCGACUUGUCCGUUCUCCAUAUCCCUCCUGUUAUGCUCACAGAAUGGGACAGGGUGCACCAAACCUACAUGUACAGUUAUCAUUGAUUUGAUUCAUUUCUAUGUCAGUGUCGGACAAUAAGUUCAUGUUACUUUACUGACACAAUAUUGGUCAUUACUGUUACACUGCUGAUUUUAUUCUGGAUUAAAAUGUCAUGUCUCCACUCUAUUCCUUACUGCCGUGUCUCUAGCUAUUUUUUCUUUUACUCAGAUAUGUCUCAUGUAAGGUAAAUCCAUAGGUAUUUACUUUGUUGUUGUCCACCGUGUUGUUGACCACAGUGGUUGAUUCUUUGAUAGGGUUGUGGUUACUAGAUUGUGUGGCCCUGUGAUCAGCACCACUGCAAUAGUGGAAUUACCCUCAGAGUCUGUUCACUCCACUCUGCCCCAAGUACAAAGUGUUUCGGAGGCUAAAGUCCCCAGCCAACUAACACUCCACGUCAAAGUCUGCUUCUUUAUCAUCAUCUGCCAUGCUCACAUAGGGGGAUGAAUAUUCUCUUUUGCUUUCUCUACAUGUGUGUCCUAGUAUAUGCUUGUGUGUGUGCGUGUGUGUGUGUGUGUGUGUGUGAGAGAGAGAGAGAGAGAGAGAGAGAGAGAGAGAGAGAGGGGGCGAGAGAGAGAAAGGCUGGCAAACAGACUGUAAUGUCAGCUAAAUUUUUUUUUAAGUAAACAGGUAUGACGGGGUACUGGCCUAUUUUAUGGGACAUUUUUGAAAGUGUCUCUACCUGUCUAAGUUGUCUCAUUUCAGUUUCCCGGUUUCUGUGUGUGUGUGUUUGUGUGUUUGUUGCUACUUCAUCAGCAGCCCAAACCAUUUUCUCAUCUCUUACCUCUGACCAACAUCUCCUUGCUCGUAAGUAAACUCCCUUUAGGAACAAACGUCCAAACAGCUGCAGGGGUUUAGGAAUAGCAAAAAAAAAAAAAAAA